rnacentral:rRNA from 2 species
AGCUGAGAGGAGCUUGCUUUUCUUAGCUUAGUGGCGAACGGGUGAGUAACGCGUGAGUAACCUGCCCUGGAGUGGGGGACAACAGUUGGAAACGACUGCUAAUACCGCAUAAGCCCACGGGUCGGCAUCGAUCUGAGGGAAAAGGAGUGAUCCGCUUUGAGAUGGCCUCGCGUCCGAUUAGCUAGUUGGUGAGGUAAUGGCCCACCAAGGCGACGAUCGGUAGCCGGCCUGAGAGGGUGAACGGCCACAUUGGGACUGAGACACGGCCCAAACUCC